UUGUUGCCAUGCUUACCUCAGCAUAGUUGAUGUAAUUGAGAAGCUUAGCCUUUUCCUGCCUAAGCUUUAAUAUUUGGUCAAUAAUUGGUGUAUUAUCUAGAUCACCACUUGAAGCACGAGUAACAUAAGCACGAUAGAAUUCUUCACGCAAAUCACGGUUUUGAGCAUGUUGCAUAACAGAAAUAAAACUAGGGGCAUCCAAUGUAAU
rnacentral:misc_RNA from 1 species